rnacentral:tRNA from 1 species
CUUUUAUUAAAAUUAAUUAAUAUAAAAUA